rnacentral:snoRNA from 1 species
CCCCUCUCAGGGUCGCACCUGGAGAGUUUCCAGUCCUCUACCAGUCUCGGCUAUGGGAGGGAGAGUCCAGCAGAAGCAUUCCCAUUCCAUUCCUAGCUUGGGCAGUGGCUAGCUAUGGAAGGCGAUCGGCUACAAGU